ACUCAGAAGAAGUUGUCUGAAUUCCCUCUUCUUUAAAUAUUUUCCGAAUGGCUUAUGUGACAAAAGAUCUCAAGCGGUUGAGAGUCAAAACAUUUGUAAUAUGUAUGCCUUCUUAUAAUAGCAUUUCCUUCAGUACCUAGUCCUCUACUUUGAAAGAGUGAGGUUUGGCCCUAUAGUCAUAAUAGUUGACGGUACGUUCACCCUUGGUUGUCUUGAUACAAAUUUUUAUUCCUCUUGUUGUAAUGGGCUUGCUGAGAGUAAAAAUCCUUCCUUUUACCAAGAGACAGAUACGUUUGGUGACUUAGCGAGUAGCUAAAUGAGGCAGGAGAUGAUGCAAUAGGUGUCUGAAU
rnacentral:lncRNA from 1 species